rnacentral:rRNA from 1 species
AACGAACGCUGGCGGCAGGCCUAACACAUGCAAGUCGAACGGGACCUUCGGGUCUAGUGGCGGACGGGUGAGUAACGCGUGGGAACGUGCCCUUUGGUUCGGAAUAGCCCCGGGAAACUGGGAGUAAUACCGGAUAAGCCCUACGGGGGAAAGAUUUAUCGCCAAAGGAUCGGCCCGCGUUGGAUUAGGUAGUUGGUGGGGUAAUGGCUCACCAAGCCGACGAUCCAUAGCUGGUUUGAGAGGAUGAUCAGCCACACUGGGACUGAGACACGGCCCAGACUCCUACGGGAGGCAGCAGUGGGGAAUCUUAGACAAUGGGGGAAACCCUGAUCUAGCCAAGCCGCGUGAUCGAUGAAGGCCUUAGGGUUGUAAAGAUCUUUCAGUGGGGAAGAUAAUGACUGUACCCACAGAAGAAGCCCCGGCUAACUCCGUGCCAGCCGCCGCCGUAAUAC